ensembl:lncRNA
GGCAUCCUUACCAGAGCGGAAGUCGCACUCCUGGCGGGUGGCAGGUGGCAGGUGGCUGGUUGUGCAUCCAGUCCUCGCUUGUACUCUCUGCCAAUCUGCAGGGACCACCUGGAUCUCUGUUCUACUUGGCAGAACCUGCGGCACGCCUUCCCAACCCGGCCUUGGGCCAUGUACACACUCUGUCGUGCCCUCCGCUAGGGGUCAUCAUCUUAGUGUCCCACAGAACGCCCCUCCUGUCUGCCGCAUCGAGGACUCUGGAGCUGGUGAGCCAGACAUGUCCUGGAGCUGCCUCGGGAGGACACAGGGGCCAGAAGGUGAGAAGAGAACUCUGCUCUGGGUACCAGUGACUGUGUCAGCCAUCAAAGGGUACAUGGAAACCACUCUUGGAGGAGGCGUGCUGACUGGGAUUCAGAGGAGGAGGAGGAGGCCAGCUGGCUGCAUGGCUGCCUUGGGUACCUCAGCCCUAGGAGCGCUGGGAAGAGGAGCUCCACGGAGCUGGGGCUCAGAUGUCUGCGGAGACCUGCUGCUCAGCCUCUGCUGGCGCACCCGGGGGAGGGGGAGGCAGCUGGGAGCUGGCCGCUGGGUGGCUGGGGCGGGGAACACCUGUCAGGCCGGGAGCCCCCCCAGCCUGGUGCCCCAGAUGGCAGAGCCCAACGGGCCCACAGAGCAGAUACCCUGGAGCCAUGGGUGGCAAACUGGCACCGGGCGGGCACGACCUGGAGGGGCUGGAGGAGGCGGCAGUCCCGAGAGGCGGACUCUGCGUCCCCCGGGGCGGAGCGGGUGGGGGUGGUCCGGGCCUUCCUGAAGCGGGAUCGCCACCGGGCGCAGAUCCUAGGGCCCCUCACUUGGGGCACUGGGGUUCUCAAGCGCUUCGGGGCGCCCUCGGGCUCUGCCUGCAGACUCGCAGGGGUGUCUGCCCUUCUGCCAGGGGCGGGGCGAGGGGACCGGGGCCCUGCGUGCCAGCGUUCCCCGAAGCUGAGAGGGUGAGUCACGGUCCUCUGGGGACCCUUUAGGAGGACAGAGUGACGCCCUGGGUCAGGCGGGAUGUACACGCGCGCCCCUUCCUCGUGGAAGGGGUGGGAGGCUGUGCAGGGACCACGCUAGGCAGUGCCAACGCGGCGAAAGGCCCGCGGUGCUCGCGGGGGAAGCGGGAGGAAGCCGGGCCUCACGGCGAAAG